rnacentral:misc_RNA from 1 species
AAGGAUCAUUAUUGAAUAAACUUGGUUGGGUUGAUGCUGGCCUCUCGGGGCAUGUGCACGCCUACCGCCAUUUUUACCACCUGUGCACCUUUUGUAGACCUGGAUAUCUCUCGAGGAAACUCGGUUUGAGGACUGCUGUGCGUAAGCCAGCUUUCCUUGCAUUUCCGGUCUAUGUUUUCAUAUACCCCAUUAGAAUGUUAUAGAAUGUCAUUAAUGGGCUUCAUUGCCUUUAAAAUUAAUACAACUUUCAACAACGGAUCUCUUGGCUCUC